rnacentral:lncRNA from 1 species
NNNNNNNNNNNNNNNNNNNNNNNNNNNNNNNNNACCACCCUCAGGACACUGCUGACCACCCCUGGGACCACCCUUGGGACACUGCUGACCACCCCAGGGACCACCCUUGGGACACUGCUGACCACCCCCAGGACACUGCUGACCACCCCAGGGACCACCCCCAGGACCACGCCCCAGAUGGGGCUGGGAACAUCUCCCAGGAGUGCCAAAGCCAUGGAUCCACGUUUGAGAACAUCUUCCAGGUGUCCACAGAAGGGUCCAUCCCACCCAAACCCAUGACCAUGGAUGAGAACAUCCCACCCAAAUCCGUGUCUAUGGAUGAGGACAUCCCACCCAAAUCCAUGUCCAUGGAUGGGAACAUCUUCCAGGUGUCCACAGAUGGGUCCAUCCCACCCAAACCCACGGCCAUGGAUGAGAACAUCUUCCAGGUACGAACUGAUGGGUCCAUCCCACCCAAGUCCACGGAUGAGAACAUUUUCCAGGUGUCCACAGAUGGUUCCAUCCCACCCAAGUCCAUGGCCAUGGAUGAGAACAUCUUCCAGGUACGAACUGAUGAGUCCAUCCCACCCAAGUCCACGGUCAUGGAUGAGAACAUCUUCCAGGUACGAACUGAUGGGUUCAUCCCACCCAAAUCCACGGAUGAGAAGGUCUCACCUGAGCCCAUGACCAUGGAUGGGAGCAUCUUCCAGCAGCACCAAUUCCAUGGAUCCACCUAUGGGAGCAUCUUCCAGGUGUCCACAGAUGGGUCCAUCCCACCCAAAGCUACGCCCAGAGAUGAGGACAUCCCACCCAAAUCCAUGUCCAUGGAUGAGGACAUCCCACCCAAUUCCAUGCCCAAGAAUGAGGACAUCCCACCCAAAUCCGUGACCAUGGAUGGGAGCACCUUCCAGAACCUCCAAAGCCAUGGAUCCACGUUUGAGGACAUCUUCCAGGUCUCCAUGGGUGUGGACAUCCCACCCAAAAACAUGACCAUGGAUAAGGACAUCCCACCCAAAUCCAUGUCCAUGGAUGGGAACAUUUUCCAGGUGUCCACAGAUGGGUCCAUCCCACCCAAGUCCAUGUCCAUGGAUGAGAACAUCUUCCAGGUACGAACUGAUGGGUCCAUCCCACCCAAGUCCAUGUCCAUGGAUGAGAACAUUUUCCAGGUGUCCACAGAUGGGUCCAUCCCACCCAAACCCAUGACCAUGGAUGAGAACAUCUUCCAGGUGUCCACAGAUGGGUCCAUCCCACCCAAAUCCAUGGAUGAGAACAUCUUCCAGGUGUCCGCAGAUGGGUCCACCCCACCCAAAUCCAUGGCCAGGGAUGAGAGCACCUUCCAGGAGGAACGGGGCCACAGAUCCACAUUUGAGGACAUCUUCCAGGUGUCCAUGGAUGAGUCCAUCCCACCCAAAAACACGACCAUGGAUGAAGACAUCCCACCCAAGUCCACGGUCAUGGAUGAGAACAUCUUCCAGGUACGAACUGAUGGAUCCAUCCCACCCAAAUCCACGGAUGAGAACAUUUUCCAGGUGUCCACAGAUGGUUCCAUCCCACCCAAAUCCAUGGAUGAGAACAUCUUCCAGGUACGAACUGAUGGGUCCAUCCCACCCAAAUCCACGGAUGAGAACAUUUUCCAGAUGUCCACUGAUGGGUUCAUCCCACCCAAAUCCACGGAUGAGAAGGUCUCACCUGAGCCCAUGACCAUGGAUGGGAGCAUCUUCCAGCAGCACCAAUUCCAUGGAUCCACCUAUGGGAGCAUCUUCCAGGUGUCCACAGAUGGGUCCAUCCCACCCAAAUCCACGGCCAGGGAUGAGAGCACCUUCCAGGAGGAACGGGGCUAUGGAUCCACAUUUGAGGACAUCUUCCAGGUGUCCAUGGAUGAGUCCAUCCCACCCAAAAACACGACCAUGGAUGAAGACAUCCCACCCAAGUCCACGGUCAUGGAUGAGAACAUCUUCCAGGUACGAACUGAUGGGUCCAUCCCACCCAAAUCCACGGAUGAGAACAUUUUCCAGAUGUCCACUGAUGGGUUCAUCCCACCCAAAUCCACGGAUGAGAAGGUCUCACCUGAGCCCAUGACCAUGGAUGGGAGCAUCUUCCAGCAGCACCAAUUCCAUGGAUCCACCUAUGGGAGCAUCUUCCAGGUGUCCACAGAUGGGUCCAUCCCACCCAAAGCUACGCCCAGAGAUGAGGACAUCCCACUCAAAUCCAUGUCCAUGGAUGAGCACAUCCCACCCAAAUCCAUGUCCAUGGAUGAGGACAUCCCACCCAAAUCCAUGCCCAAGAAUGAGGACAUCUUACCCAAAUCCAUGUCCAUGGAUGGGAGCACCUUCCAGGAGCUCCAAAGCCAUGGAUCCACGUUUGAGGACAUCUUCCAGGUCUCCAUGGGUGUGGACAUCCCACCUAAAUCCAUGAACAUGGAUAAGGACAUCCCACCCCAAGCCAUUCCUGUGGACCAAAGCUUUGAGCUCCUCUUGGGGAGCAUCUUCAACAUGGGUGGGGACACCUCCCGUGGCCAGGUGACAACAGAUGGGGCCACCUCAGCCAAUCCCGUGGCCACGGAUGGGAACGACCUGUGCGGGUGCUGGGAGCUCGAGCUGAUGGACAGGAACGUCUCACCUGAUGUCACCGAGGCUGGGGACAUCUCAUCAUGGACGGUGACCAGGGAUGGGGACAUCUCCCACACAUCUGUGGGUGAUGACAUCUCAUCGUGGAUGGUGACCAGGGAUGGGGACAUCUCCCACACAUCUGUGGGUGGGGACAUCUCAUCGUGGAUGGUGACCAGGGAUGGGACCCACUUGUCCAAGACCGUGACCAUGAGUGGGACCACCUCACCCAACUCCAUGACCCCAGAUGGGACCUUCUCUCCAGAGCACCUGGCCAUGGAUUCAAGGAUCUCAGCUGAGUCUGUGACCACGGAUGGGACC